CUGCGGAUGGCUCAUUAAAACAGUUAUAAUCUACCCGGCUUUUAUUGUGGUUCAGUGGUUGUUUCGACAUCCAGUGUUCUACUCUAUAAGGAUAACCGAGGGAAAUCUGUGGCUAACACUUGCAAUAAAAGGAUUCCUUCUUACCGUUUGGACGUUGACGGGUUCGCCCCGAUGCGCUCAUCUGGCUGAGGGUUUCCUAGACUUACUUGACCAUAAUCCUAGUCUUCGGGCUAGGACAAUACCCGCACGGUUACUACCAUGCGUUCCCAUCGAGGAAGCAGAGUAAUUUUCUAGAUCGACAUCGGUUCCUUCAUCGGGUUCCACGUCGACGGACCGGGAGAAUUUCUGACCUAUCAACUAUGAUGGUGGGGUAGCGGCCUACCAUGGUUAUGACGGGUAACGGGGAAUUAGGGUUCGAUUCCGGAGAGGGAGCCUGAGAAAUGGCUACCAUUCCCAUGGAAAGCAGCAGGCGCGUAAAUUACCCAAUUUCGAUUCAAAGAGGUAGUGACAAGAAAUACCGUUUUGGUUUCCAUCUGGAAUCCACAUAUGGAAUGAGUAAGGUUUAAAAUACCCUACAAGGAACAAUUGGAGGACAAGUCUGGUGCCAGCACCCGCGGUAAUUCCAGCUCCAAUAGCAUAUGUUAAAUUUGCUGUAGUUAAAAAGCUCGUAGUUGGAUGAAAUAAUUUCGAGGGUUUCUAGGAGCAGAAGUCUUUACUACUUGUACUGACUAUUGUGUCUUUGAUUCCCGAGGAUUAUUAGUGUCGUUGGAUGCCGACGGUGUUCUUCCACUACCCGGGUUCGCCUAGGUGUGGUCAGACCCGUCGUGUCAUCCUUCGUCUACACAUAAGCUUUGAAAAAAUUAGAGUGUUUAAAGCAGGUUUAUUCCUAUAUAAAAUCACAUAGAACUUCGAAAAAGGACAUACUGGACAAGUGGUAUUUAUCCAUUGUUUGUACAUGAUAAAUAGGGACAAUCGGGGUCGUUCGUAUUGAUCCGGGAGAGGUGAAAUUCUAAGAUCGGAUCAGGACGUACAACUGCGAAAGCAUUCGACAAGGAUGUUUUCAUUAAUCAAGAACGAAAGUUAAGGGAUCGAAGAUGAUCAGAUACCGUCGUAGUCUUAACUAUAAACUAUAUCAACCAUACGUUCCGGGACGUUGUUUUGGACUCCCAAAGCGUUAUAUGAGAAAUCUCGAGUAUGAUUCUAGGGGGAGUAUGGUCGCAAGGCUGAAACUUAAAGGAAUUGACGGAAGGGCACAACCAGGAGUGGAAUCUGCGGCUUAAUUUCACUCAACCGGGGAAAACUUACCAGGUCAGGACAUGAGUAGGAUUGACAGAUUGAUUGUUCUUUCAUGAUUUCAUGGAAAGUGGUGCAUGGCCGUUUUUAGUUGGUGGAUUGGUUUGUCUGGUUAAUUCCGUUAACGAGCGAGACCUCUUCCUGCUAACUAGGAUGGACAAAUAACGACUUGCGAUUCAUUUCCGGUUCGCCGGUCAUGAUAGCUUGUCAGUAUUAGUGAUUAGUCAUUCUUCUUAGAGGGACCUAUAUCGGCAAUUAAAGGAAGGUCGAGGCAACAACAGGUCUGUGAUGCCCUUAGAUGUUCUGGGCUGCACGCGGGUUACACUGGUAACGAGAAAAGGUUAAAGAGCAACGGUCUGCGCGCGCGGUCUCCGGAUCACGUCGCUGCCGUAGUACCUUACCAUGAAAAAUGGUAGGGAACCCUUAAUCGUGCUCCAAGACUGGGAUAGUAUCUUGCAACUAUUGUUCUUAAACGAGGAAUUCCUAGUAAGCGUAGGUCAUUAACCUGCGUUGAUUACGUCCCUGCCCUUUUGUACACACCGCCCGUCGCUCCUACCGAUUGAACGAUCCGGUGAGGCCUCAGGAUGAUGUGGUUCUGGUCGACCGAAAGGCUAAUCAGUUCCAUCUUCAAAAUUUUGGUCAAAUCUUAUCGUUUAGAGGAAGGAGAAGUCGUAAA
rnacentral:rRNA from 1 species